AUGGAGCUCACGGUUGGGAGCAAAACAUUGCCGACUGCUUUCUUCGUUGUUGAUGUCAAAGGCCGAUAUAAUAUUCUUUUGGGACGCGAUUGGAUUCAUGCAAAUUGUUGCAUCCCUUCUACUCUACAUCAAUGUUUGUUUCAGUGGGUUGAUGAUGAUGUUGAAGUGGUUGAUGCGGAUAAUUCGGCCUGCAUUGCAUUGGCUGAGGCUCCGGUUGAUUGGCAACACGCUGAGAUGCGAUGCUUGACGGGUAGAGAUUUAUCAGAUUAUGAUUAUAUUAGCAUUGGCAGAGAUGGUUUUGUUCCUGUACAUGCACAGUCGGCUAGUGUAGCUCGGCUUAAUGACUUAUCCUUGUGA
rnacentral:rRNA from 1 species